UGUUGGGACAUUUACACAGAAACUUGAACCUCUGCAGCUCUCUUUCUCUCUCAGGAUGUGGAAAGUGCAGUCUACUUUUGGAGGAUCAAUUUUUGGUCUGGGCUUCCCAAAAAGGGUUGAUGCUGCCCAAGGAGUCCUUUACCAUACAAUAUGCAUACCUGAGAUGCAGAUCCCAUUUACUGUCUGACACAAAGGAAACAAAUUCCAUGACAACUUCAAUGAACUGAGAAAGUUUCACCUGGUUCCACUGCAAAAGGAUACGUUUGUCCAUUCUCCCAAAACCAGACUCAGAAAGAACUGUGAAUUUUUGGAUGGACUUGAGCCUGCAUUUAAGUUUGUAACAAAACAUGAAACCAGCCAAAAUUUGCCUGUCUGAUUGUAAUGUAUGUACGGAUUUAGUGAUGUCCUGCUGAUGUAUUUAUUGCUGAAUAUCAGUCUACAUGUAAACCAUGUUACCCUUUCAAUAUAUCAUCUGCUUCUAUUAAUGUUGCUGUGAAGUAUGAAGUUAGUGUAUUCUUCUUAGAAAUGGCAUAGAGAAGUCAAUGUAACACAACCAAUUUCUCUGCAACAAGUGUUGUACUCUUGGGUACCAUUGUUCAUUACAAGCCUGAUUCAAUAAAGUUGUCUGGAAUUCCACAUAGCCUCAUGAAUCUAGGAAGCCAUGGAAACCUUUUCCGCCCCCAAUUUUCCUGUAGCUCCUAGCAUACACAAGUCACACAUUUAAGAGACACAUUUCUUCAAGCUGUCUUUGAGAGCAUUGUUUUUUAUCUGAUAGCAGUGCCCUUCUGUUUCAUAACUCUUUAGUAAAUGAAGCUUAAUACACUAUAGCAGUAUGUUCAUUAAAAAGUCAAUGAAAGACAAUUCCAAGUCCUUCAAAAGAAAUCUCUGAAAUAUUCUCUU